rnacentral:lncRNA from 1 species
CUGGACGCCUCGAUGCGGGGGUGUUGCCCCAGUCUGUCCAGUAAAUGGUGCUGGCAGGAGAGAAAAGGGGACUGAGACUCGGCAGCAGCAGACAGACAGUCCCCCCGGGGUUUCUCUGCUGCAGAAGGUUUGCAAACGGGGCCUCUGUCCUACCUGGACUCUCCAGCCCGGUGGACACCACCUCCUCCACGUUGCUGCCAUUGAGGUUGGCACGGAGGAUCCGGUCCAGGGUGACGUCGGACCAGAACACCAGCUCACGGCGGUGGUGGAAGUCAAGGGCGAUGGCGUUCUCCAGGUUGUUGAGCAGCAAUGUGUACUCCGAGCGGUGUGGCAGCACCUGCCGGAUGUCGAUUCGGUUGGCGAACAGCAGCACUGGCUCGGGCCCUGGGAGGCGGCAGAGAGACAGGGCCUGCAGCGGGCAUCAGAGCUGCCCAACACCCACCAGCAUGCAGCCCAGCUCCACAGCAGGCAAGGGGUCGCCUGUCCCUGGGCCACCCCGGCCCACCCGCGUCCAUACCAGUGGAAGGAGACCACCCCUCCCCCAAGCAGUUCUCCUUGGGAUCCAGAAGGCACUUGAAGAAGUCGUCCUCCCCAUCACAGCGCCAGGACAGCCGGACGCAGCGGCCCGAUCGGCAGCGGAACUGUUCCGUUGUGCACAUGGACGUGGCUGGCAAAGCAAAGGGAUCAUGAAAGGCCAGCCCCUCUCAUCCCUGCUGCCCAGAGCUGCACUUUGUGUCAGUACCCAGGCCACUCUUCUGGAUGCCAGUGUCAUGAGACGCUUUACAGACAUCUGCUGGAAAACUGCCACGAUGAGUCUAUGAAACCGCCGUCUGUUAUGGGGCUGGCAUUCCUUCAGACAGUGCCUCUGCGCAGUGUACAACCCUCGCAACUGUAGUGGUGGUUGUCUAGAAUGUCCUCCUAACUUCUCGUGUGUUUAGAAGGUGACUGGAUUGUGAGGGCUCUAUACUCAUUGGUGGGUUCACCUAUUGAUGAGUACAGGAGCUGCCCACGCGGUUAGGAAGUGGGGCCAGGUGGAGGUGGUCACCAGGGCCGGGGCCCGGAAGGGUGCAUUCUUUCUCUAUCUGCUUCCUGGCUGCCAUGGGUUGGGUGUCUUUUCCUCUGACCCAGCCCUUCCACCAUGCCCUUUCUGCCUUGGAGCAUGGACGGAAACCACGAGUCAAAAUAAAC